rnacentral:rRNA from 1 species
CCUACGGGUGGCAGCAGUGGGGAAUAUUGCACAAUGGGGGAAACCCUGAUGCAGCGACGCCGCGUGAGUGAAGAAGUAUUUCGGUACGUAAACCUCUAUCAGCAGGGAAGAAAAAAGGACGGUAUCUGAGUAAGAAGCCCCGGCUAACUACGUGCCAGCAGCCGCGGUCAUACGUAGGGCGCAAGCGUUAUCCGGAAUGACUGGGUGUAAAGGGAGCGUAGACGGUAAUGCAAGUCCGGAGUGGAAUGCGGCAGCUCAACUGACGAACUGCUGUGGAAACUGUAUGGCUGGAGUGCAGGAGGGGUAAGCGGAAUUCCUGGUGUAGCGGUGAAAUGCGUAGAUAUCAGGAGGAACACCGGUGGCGAAGGCGGCUUACUGGACUGUAACUGACGUUGAGGCUCGAAAGCGUGGGGAGCAAACAGGAUUAGAUACCCCGGUAGUC